CAAGCACCACAUGCAUGCCUCAAUGACCAGUGAAAUUCACAUAGCCACACCUAACUCCACGCCUCCACCUCAUUAUGUAUCUAUAUAUCUCUAUAUCCUCAUAUUCUCGUUGCUCGUAUAACUUCUCGUGUGUUAAUUAUCCCGUAUUAAUAUAAUGGGGCACUUGCACUCCUCAUGUGCAUAUGGAUUAUUUUGCUUGAUAUCGCACACUCCGAAGACGUGGUGGUGGCGCAGACAGUUUUAUGCGACAGCAUGGAUAUGUCUUUCGAAAUGGAGAAUGCUUGCUUCCCAAACACAAUGCCUAGCAUCGAUUGUUGCAUUUUUGCUGUGCAUGUCAUUGACAUGGCGAUUUUAAACGAUCUAGAGUGUCUCUGCGGUUUGAAGGAUGAACGGUCAUUCUUUGAUAACGGUUUAUCCCUACAGGAUAUGGCUGAUUUCUAUUCCAGUAGUAUUUGCCAGGGUCAGGAUCUUAUAAAUGCCCAGGUUGUCGUCGACGCAUGUGAAGGUAUGGAGCAACGUAGCAAGAUGCCCUCAAUGCCUCCUCAGCGGUUGCUCGAAAGCAGGGUCCGGGUCGAGGCUAGCCCUGCCGACUCGCCAACUCCGCCGGCUUCUACCUGAUUUGCUCCUUGGAAGAAUUGUUAGCUGGGGCUGGUGAUCAUAUGCCUGAUCAGUUCUACUUGAGCAACCGUGGCCCUUUUCAUUAAUGUAGUUUAGUAAAUCGAUUUUUCCAUGCUAUUAUUUGGUUCUUGUAUCCUGGGCUCCGCCCAAUCUAUCUUUAAUCGUGCUAGCUGUGUCCUUGUAGUUUAGUGGAAUCUAUCCUCUUAAAGAAAGUGGUUUUCGAUCACCAUCCUCAUUGUAAUCGUGUUUUGUCAGUUGUCAAAUAACUCUGGUGUUUUUUUUUUCUUUCAGUAGCAGUUAUUUCAGUUCCAGCUC